rnacentral:RNase_P_RNA from 1 species
AGAGUCGGCCAGACAACCGCUGUGCUUUGUCACGGAGGAAAGUCCGGGCUCCAUAGGGCAGGGUGCCAGGUAACGCCUGGGAGGCGCGAGCCUACGGAAAGUGCCACAGAAAACAUACCGCCAAAGUCCUUCGGGACCGGUAAGGGUGAAAUGGUGCGGUAAGAGCGCACCGCGCCGCCGGCAACGGCGGUGGCAGGGUAAACCCCACCCGGAGCAAGACCAAAUAGGGGGGCGAUAGGUGCGGCCCGCACUGUCCCCGGGUAGGUCGCUUGAGGUGUGCGGCGACGCACAUCCCAGAUGAAUGGUUGUCCACGACAGAACCCGGCUUAUCGGCCGACUCUCCCU